rnacentral:rRNA from 1 species
UACGGGGGGGGCAAGCGUUGUUCGGAAUUACUGGGCGUAAAGGGCUCGUAGGUGGCCAACUAAGUCAGACGUGAAAUCCCUCAGCUUAACUGGGGAACUGCGUCUGAGACUGGAUGGCUUGAGUGCAGGAGAGGAACGCGGAAUUCCAGGUGUAGCGGUGAAAUGCGCAGAUAUCAGGAGGAACACCGAUGGCGAAGGCAGCUCACUGGGACGGUACUGACGCUGAGGCGCGAAAGCGUGGGGAGCAAACAGG